AUUGAACGCUGGCGGCAGGCCUAACACAUGCAAGUCGAACGAGUGGCGGACGGGUGAGUAAUGUCUGGGAAACUGACUGAUGGAGGGGGCUAACUACUGGAAACGGUAGCUAAUACCGCAUACCAUCAGAUGUGCCAAGAUGGGAGUAGCGAGGUGGUGGGGUAACGGCUCACCAAGGCGACGAUCCCUAGCUGGUCUGAGAGGAUGACCAGCCACACUGGAACUGAGCCACGGGCCAGACUCCUCCGGGAGGCCGCAGUGGGGAAUAUUGCACAAUGGGCGCAAGCCGGAUGCAGCCAUGCCGCGUGUAUGAAGAAGGCCUUCGGGUUGUAAAGUACUUUCAGCGGGGAGGCGUUACCCGCAGAAGAAGCACCGGCUAACUCCGUGCCAGCAGCCGCGGUAAUUC
rnacentral:rRNA from 1 species